rnacentral:rRNA from 1 species
GUACACACCGCCCGUCACACCACGGGAGUCGAUUGGUCCCGAAGUGCGUGAGCUAACCCCUCGGGGAGGAGCGUCCUAAGGAAUGGUCGGUGACUGGGGUGAAGUCGUAACAAGGUAGCCGUAGGUGAACCUGCAGAAGGAUCA